rnacentral:rRNA from 1 species
GAUUUCUGACUUGGCGCACCUGGCCCGCCACGGUUACGUGUGUGAGUGCCGGGAUGCGCCUGUCACUUUUCUGGUAAACUAUUUUGCUCUUCAUUGGGUAGGAUAGGUAGCCAGAUAUUUUACUUUGAAAAAAUUAGAGUGUUUAAAGCAGGCGUUUGAAUACAUUAGCAUGGAAUAAUAAGUUAGGACUUCGGUUCUAUUUUGUUGGUUUCUAGGACUGAAGUAAUGAUUGAUAGGGAUAGUUGGGGGUGCUAGUAUUCAGCGGCCAGAGGUGAAAUUCUCGGAUUCGCUGAAGACUAACUUAUGCGAAAGCAUU